rnacentral:rRNA from 1 species
UACGUAGGGACCAAGCGUUGUCCGGAAUCAUUGGGCGUAAAGAGCGUGUAGGCGGCUUGUUAAGUCUUGCGUGAAAUCUCGGGGCUCAACCCCGAGCGGUCGUGAGAAACUGGCAGGCUAGAGUGCGGGAGAGGAGAGUGGAAUUCCUGGUGUAGCGGUGAAAUGCGCAGAUAUCAGGAAGAACACCCGUGGCGAAGGCGGCUCUCUGGAACGCAACUGACGCUGAGACGCGAAAGCUAGGGGAGCAAACGGG